AAGCACAGCUCUUUUAGAAUUUUUUUUUUCUAACAGCUUUUCUGACCUUGGUUGGAAAAUCCAA
rnacentral:snRNA from 1 species